GACCCCCUUACCUCAUCUCCUCUCUCUUCAAAACCAAGAUACCCUAGCCCCUUCCAUCACUUCACCGCCGCCACACCCUUAGGACCGCCGGUUAAAUGCUUCCACCGACACUGCUGCCUCACAUCACCUCAUCUAUCACCUUUUUCCCUACGUUUGAGAGCUGUCACAACUCUGUUGAUGUCUGUGAAAAGGAAAACUCGAAGAUCUUUCGGGUUGAAGCUUACUUUGUCUUCAAUUCAAUGGGUAUAGACACAAAUUGACUGAAACGGCUCCAAAGGACUCAUCCCUUCACAUCACCUCUGCAAAAGUUUUUGGACUCAAAAAAUCCACAAAAACACUUAAGUUUGGUUCCUUUAUUGGCCGACACAACAACAAACCACUUCGAGCGGAUUCGGAGACUCGAGACGACAACAAGCCUCAGUUCGCUGUCCCAAAGAAGGUAAUUACACUCGUCUUUCUAUCAAUUCAUUUUAGUUUACAGAAUUAAGUGUAGUCCCUUGAUUAUUUUAGCCGUCUGUUCCUAGUUCUGCCUAUGUGAAUCGGUUCGUUUGCUAUAAGUUAGUAGUGAUUCUCGUCUCCAAUUCAUUUUCAGUUUAGAAGUAGAGAUGUAGUCAUUUCGUUGUUCUUAUCAUUUAUUCGAGUUUGCUCAUUUGAAUCUGUCUAUUCUUUGUUUGCUACAAAUCAGCAUGAAAUAGUUGAUACAAGCUAUUAACAUUUAAAGAGAACAUCUAUUAACUCGCCGAAUAUGUGAAUAGUCGUGUCGAUCAUUUACUUUCCCGUUGUGAUAUUUUUAUUACGUAAUAGGUUAAUGAGGGUGAAAUCACUCAUGAACAAUCACUGUUUCACGAAAAGAUGAAUUUUGUUGUUGAGGCGUUUAACCUGGUUGUUGGUAUUCAGAUGCCAUCGGUCUUGAAAGGCUGUUUUGUCGUAAUAGUAUAAAAAAUCAACAUGCAAUGGUUUUGAAUGUAAAGUAUGGAUCAAUCUAUUGUCUAUAUAAGUAUUUUUCCUAUAUUUCUAUGUGUUCAACAUGAUGUUUAAAAGUAACAUUCCUUUAUCUCAAAUUGGUUAGCACAAGGCUUAAGGUAAUUUGAAGAGCAUGCCCUUUAUGUUUUGUGGAAAAAUAAUGAAAGAAUGGAACUUGGUGUGUCUCUCCUAUUAGAUUAACUUCUCUGUUGAUUUUUGCUUAAGGCGCUCACAUGACUUCUCGAACUUUAAAACAAGUUAGAGUCUUCUCUAUUAAGUAGUCAUUGAUAAGAUUUUUAGGCAGCUAAAACAUAGGAAGAUGAAUAAUUAAUUUUGGUACCCAUAUUACGUUGAUUUGCUAUGAAUAGGAGUUGAUCACAGGGCCAUUGAUCACACCGGAAUGGUUCGCUUAAGUUUCUGUUGGGGCCAGACUGUUUAUUCUUUUGAGAAUGCAUGAGAUAAUUUGAAGUAUAAAAUUGUCUUAAGUCGAACCCUGUUGUGACUUGGAUCUGUGUUUGGACUAUCUCCCCUAAAGUUGCUAAAAAUGCUAGGAGUAUGUAUUUGUCGUUUAAAUAUUUAAAAAUGAGGAGUUUGGUUAAGUUGUAAUGCUGGGAAUGCUCAAGAUUACUUAACUUGCUAACUUAUAAAUGUUGAGAGUC